GGCCAUGCCGGCAGCCUACACAUGCAGUCGAGCGGUAGCACAGAGAGCUUGCUCUCGGGUGACGAGCGGCGGACGGGUGAGUAAUGUCUGGGAAACUGCCUGAUGGAGGGGGAUAACUACUGGAAACGGUAGCUAAUACCGCAUAACGUCGCAAGACCAAAGUGGGGGACCUUCGGGCCUCAUGCCAUCAGAUGUGCCCAGAUGGGAUUAGCUAGUAGGUGGGGUAAUGGCUCACCUAGGCGACGAUCCCUAGCUGGUCUGAGAGGAUGACCAGCCACACUGGAACUGAGACACGGUCCAGACUCCUACGGGAGGCAGCAGUGGGGAAUAUUGCACAAUGGGCGCAAGCCUGAUGCAGCCAUGCCGCGUGUAUGAAGAAGGCCUUCGGGUUGUAAAGUACUUUCAGCGAGGAGGAAGGCGUUAAGGUUAAUAACCUUGGUGAUUGACGUUACUCGCAGAAGAAGCACCGGCUAACUCCGUGCCAGCAGCCGCGGUAAUACGGAGGGUGCAAGCGUUAAUCGGAAUUACUGGGCGUAAAGCGCACGCAGGCGGUCUGUCAAGUCGGAUGUGAAAUCCCCGGGCUCAACCUGGGAACUGCAUUCGAAACUGGCAGGCUAGAGUCUUGUAGAGGGGGGUAGAAUUCCAGGUGUAGCGGUGAAAUGCGUAGAGAUCUGGAGGAAUACCGGUGGCGAAGGCGGCCCCCUGGACAAAGACUGACGCUCAGGUGCGAAAGCGUGGGGAGCAAACAGGAUUAGAUACCCUGGUAGUCCACGCCGUAAACGAUGUCGACUUGGAGGUUGUGCCCUUGAGGCGUGGCUUCCGGAGCUAACGCGUUAAGUCGACCGCCUGGGGAGUACGGCCGCAAGGUUAAAACUCAAAUGAAUUGACGGGGGCCCGCACAAGCGGUGGAGCAUGUGGUUUAAUUCGAUGCAACGCGAAGAACCUUACCUACUCUUGACAUCCAGAGAACUUAGCAGAGAUGCUUUGGUGCCUUCGGGAACUCUGAGACAGGUGCUGCAUGGCUGUCGUCAGCUCGUGUUGUGAAAUGUUGGGUUAAGUCCCGCAACGAGCGCAACCCUUAUCCUUUGUUGCCAGCGGUCCGGCCGGGAACUCAAAGGAGACUGCCAGUGAUAAACUGGAGGAAGGUGGGGAUGACGUCAAGUCAUCAUGGCCCUUACGAGUAGGGCUACACACGUGCUACAAUGGCAUAUACAAAGAGAAGCGACCUCGCGAGAGCAAGCGGACCUCAUAAAGUAUGUCGUAGUCCGGAUUGGAGUCUGCAACUCGACUCCAUGAAGUCGGAAUCGCUAGUAAUCGUAGAUCAGAAUGCUACGGUGAAUACGUUCCCGGGCCUUGUACACACCGCCCGUCACACCAUGGGAGUGGGUUGCAAAAGAAGUAGGUAGCUUAACCUUCGGGAGGGCGCUACCAUCUUGGAUACC
rnacentral:rRNA from 1 species